CCUACGGGAGGCAGCAGUGGGGAAUAUUGCACAAUGGGGGAAACCCUGAUGCAGCGACGCCGCGUGAGUGAAGAAGUAAUUCGUUACGGAAAGCUCUAUCAGCAGGGAAGCAAAUGACGGUACCUGAGUCAGAAGCCCCGGCGAACUACGUGCCAGCAGCCGCGGUAAUACGUAGGGGGCAAGCGUUAUCCGGAUUUACUGGGUGUAAAGGGAGCGUAGACGGUGCGCCAAGUCUGGAGGGAAAUGCCGCAGCUUAACUGCGGAACUGCUGUGGAAACUGGCGAACUAGAGUGCGGGAGGGGUAAGCGGAAUGCCUGGUGUAGCGGUGAAAUGCGUAGAUAUUAGGAAGAACCCCGAUUGCGAAGGCAGCUUACUAAACUGUGACUGACAUUGAUGCUCGAAAGUGUGGGUAUCAAACAGGAUUAGAUACCCGAGUAGUC
rnacentral:rRNA from 1 species